GUGCUAGCUUCAGCAGCAGAUAUACUAAAACUGGAACAGUACAGAGGUCAGUAUAGCUCCUGCACAAGGAUGACAUGCAAAUUUGUGAAGCAUUCCAUAAGGCU
rnacentral:snRNA from 1 species